UACGUAGGGGGCAAGCGUUGUCCGGAUUUAUUGGGCGUAAAGAGCGUGUAGGCGGUUCGGUAGGUCCGUUGUGAAAACUCGAGGCUCAACCUCGAGACGCCGAUGGAAACCCCCGAACUAGAGUCCGGAAGAGGAGAAUGGAAUUCCUGGUGUAGCGGUGAAAUGCGUAGAUAUCAGGAGGAACACCUGUGGCGAAAGCGGCGCACUGGACCACAACUGACGCUGAGGCGCGAAAGCUAGGGGAGCAAACAGG
rnacentral:rRNA from 1 species